rnacentral:rRNA from 1 species
GACGAACGCUGGCGGCGUGCUUAACACAUGCGAGUCGAACGGAAAGGCCCUGCUUUUGUGGGGUGCUCGAGUGGCGAACGGGUGAGUAACACGUGAGUAACCUGCCCUUGACUUUGGGAUAACUUCAGGAAACUGGGGCUAAUACCGGAUAGGAGCUCCUGCUGCAUGGUGGGGGUUGGAAAGUUUCGGCGGUUGGGGAUGGACUCGCGGCUUAUCAGCUUGUUGGUGGGGGAGUGGCUUACCAAGGCUUUGACGGGUAGCCGGCCUGAGAGGGUGACCGGCCACAUUGGGACUGAGAUACGGCCCAGACUCCUACGGGAGGCAGCAGUGGGGAAUAUUGCACAAUGGGCGGAAGCCUGAUGCAGCAACGCCGCGUGCGGGAUGACGGCCUUCGGGUUGUAAACCGCUUUCGCCUGUGACGAAGCGUGAGUGACGGUAAUGGGUAAAGAAGCACCGGCUAACUACGUG